ACCCUAUGUUAAGGACAUUUCCAUAGGAACUCCUUGAACCUAUCCCAUGUCUCAAAAAGAGACUCCAAUUCCAUUUGCACAAGUUUAGAUAUUUCAUUCAUAAGCUU